rnacentral:rRNA from 1 species
GUCGAGACCUAAGGUGUACCCGGUAUUGCCGGGGAAGCUGAUGGCAAAGCGGUUAAAUAUUCCGCUACCUGGGUGAACGUUAGGCUAAGGCGUGACGCAGAAGUGAAACUCCCGCGUGCUGACGAAUGCACGUUAAAGGGCGUAGGCCGGGGGGUAGGCAAAUCCGCCUCCCAUUAAGGCUGAACCCCGACAGUACCCGGAUUCUCACGAUGAAGGGAUAGUGGAGGUAAUCAUGCUGCCAAGAAAAGCGUCGUAGUUUGUUCAACCAGCUCGUACCCCAAACCGACACAGG